CACCCUGCUGUCUUCCCACUCAAGCUCCUGAUCAGCUGCAGCCUGCACACCCCUGUCCCUGCUGAGGAAAGCGAGUCAGGACUCUCCCGCAGCAGUUGGGCGGGACAGCGACCGGAAGAUCCGAGGGUGGCCCGAACAACGGUGCUUUCCAGAAGAGGCUAGAUAAUAUCAUCACUGGGGAGAGUAUCUCAUUCACAGUUGUGGUCGUUGAUGUUUGUUUUUGUUUUGUUUUUUGAAAGAGAGAGCGAGCAUGAGUGGAGGGAGGGGGAGAGAAAGAGAGAGAGAGAGGGAGAAUCCCAAGCGGGCUCCGUGCCGAGCUGGGUGCCCCACUCAGGGUUCAAGCUCACGAGUGUGAGAUCAUGACCCGAGCCGAGAUCGAGAGUCAGAAGCCCCCGGGGGGCACGUGGGUGGCUCCGUCGGUUAGGCGUCUGACUCGAGAUUUUGGCUCAGGUCAUGAUCUGCACAGGGUGUGAGUUCGAGGCCCGCAUCAGUCUGUGUGCUGACAGCCCCGUGUCUACUUGGGAUUCUGUCUGCUUCUCUCUCUGCCCCUCCCCUGCUUGCUUCCUAUAUCUCUAUCGAAAUAAAAAAAAAUUAACUUAAAAAAAAAAGAGUCAGAGGCUCAACUGACUGAGCCCCCCAGGCACCCCUUGUUCAUAGUUUUUACAACCCAAAAAGUACGCCCGAGGCCCAGAGAUCCUUCAGGAAGGAGGGAUAGUAUCAGCAAAGGACAACAAAAAUGGGAACGGUUAUUUUUUAAAGGAUCUGAGCUUAUGUUUGCCAAAAAAGAGAAAACAGAAGCCUUCUAUAGGUAUAAGAGAAUGUGGUGCUCUCUUCCACAAGUCCCCUGGCCAUUAAAAAAAAAGGGGGAUUUGGGGCACCUGGGUGGCUGUCGGUUGAACGUCCGGCUUCGGCUCAAGUCAUGAUCUCACGGCUCGUGAGUUCGAGCCCUGCGUUGAGCUCUGUGCUGACAGCUCAGAGCCUGGAGCCUGCUUCGGAUUCUGUGUCUCCCUCUCUCUCCCCCUCCCCUGCUCGUGCUCUGCCUCUCUCUCUCUCUCUCUCUCAAAAAUAAAGAAACAUUAAAAAAAAUUAAAAGAAAAGGGGGAGAAUUCUGGAUUUGAAGAGAGAGAGAGAGAGACGGAAAACAGGGUGAGGCAGAGACUGGAAGACAAGAAGAACCCGACUAAGGAAGGUAAAAUUGUGAGGGUGAGACGGAGAGAAAACGUAUCGGGAGAUACGAUGAGGUCUGCUGGUGGCCCAGGCUGGGGUCGCCCGUAAGGCUUCCCCACCGGCACACGAGGACUGACGCUGGCGCUCACCGCAGCCUCGGCUGGGUCCUGCUCACUUCUCACCACAUCUCAUCCCUGUGCUUCUCUCCUGGUCUACUCGGGGCUCCAAGGCGAGUAACCCAAGGGAGCAAGGUGGAAGCUGAACCUUCCUCUCUGGCCCGGCCCAGGCAAUACUUUGUGGGUCCACGAGUGAGGAAGCUCAGCUCAGAUUCAAGGAGAAGGCACGCAGACGCUUCCUCUGGAUCUGAGGAGUGUUCCAGAAGCUGUGGCUGUGGCUGAAAACCGCCAAGAUGUCCAGUCACGACGUCCCCUGUUCUCGACCUUCAAACCUUCUUGUCUAGCUGGAGCUCUGAAAGUCAACCCAGUGAUCCUUGCAAACGAAUGAAAUAUCCAGGCUCCAGAAAGGUGGGGCGGUAGAAGGAUAUGCACCAAGUGGGGUACAAGGUGCCGUCUGUCUGGCGUGUCGCAGGGCCAUGGCCCCUGGUGUGCCCAAUGCCCAGCAUCUCCGUCAGAUACAGUUUUGACAUCUUCGCGGUGAGGCCUCGUCCACACCCAUGGACUUCCAGGCGGGAUAUGUUGCUCAGCUGCCCACCUUUGUCUGGAUGAAACCGGAUGAUAUUAGGAUCUGGAGCCAUAACAGCACAUCAAGCUUCUGGAUAUUAUCCUGAAGAAGUAAAGAUGGAUGGCCUUCUCUGAUGAGCUUUUUUAGCAACCGGACAGGCGUUCUUUUCCUGCACCUGGUUGGCAUACCGUAUCCUGCUGAAUCUUUUCUGCGCAAGUCUGUGGGUCACUAAGAUGCGGCUACGGGUCUAUAUUAAUAUGGAGAAAUGCAUUGACCAUCAGUGUUAAGGAACAUCUCUCACUGUUGACUAAGAAAAUAAUCAAUCCUGUAGCAAGUACCAACUGGGGACACAAAGUUGGAGGCAUUGACUCUGCUCUCAAGGAACUCCCAGAAGGAGACAGAAAAAGAAUCAACACAGAGUUGUGCACCACAGAGCAAAUGAAACAGCCCGCCAUUACUGAGCACUAACAGGGUGAGUCUCUCUAGCUGAAGACAUCUACUGAAGAGAGUCCAGCUAAUUACAUGCAAGGAUUAACUUCUCAAGGACCCAGAAAAAGGGUGUUGUUUUAUCCAGUUCAGGGAAGACACGGCUUCUUCAUUAACUGCUAAGGUGACGGUGAUGCUGCGGAAAGAAGUCAUACAGGUUUACAGGUCUAAGCUCAACUAUCCCUUCCCCAGGGAAAUCUUCCCUGAAGCCUAGAAAACAUCAGUCCCCUCCUUAUCUACCCCCUGUGCUCCUUCUUCUUUGGGGUACCGCUCACAGUGGAUGCACUGACAGGCCGAGUGUCCAGAAUCGUCCCCAGUAAGGAACCCUCCCAAAGGCUGAGCCACGUGAAGUCUAAAGAGGGAUCGCUGUCAUUCGGAAAACUUGUAUCAGCUUCCUUCUGCGUUGCCUGAACAUCGGUGUCAUCUGGGUAAAGUGUUUUGAGGAAAAUUUAUGCCUCCUCACAAAGAAACAGCUGUGUAUCGCCACAGUCACUAACUUUUGAAAGAUGUUACAGGAAGGUGUUCAUUUCAAGUCAGUUGCUUCAGCUACAGCUUUCCCUUCAUGUUUUAAUAUCAUGGUGUCUCCUUCUGGUCCCCUAAGUGUUACCUGGUUUCUCUGGAGGAGUGGGGGAACCCAGGACCCAUAAGUUAUGGCUCCUAUUAAGAGGGUUGGCUGGACGUGUGGACAAUGUGUCAAUAAUUAUUUCUGGCGGGGCCUUAACAGCAGAGGAAGUGCCUCCGUAGAGUGGCUUAUUUUAACAGAAGACAGAUAUGCCUGACCCGGGUUUUAUGACAGAUGUCAAAUAUAUCGAAGUGUGUUGUGAAGCAGAUCAUCUUAUUGGCAGAGAAAUGAAAGACCACCAGGAAGAUGGAUGGGAAGCUUUCCUCAAGGGGUUUCCCGUCUCCUCACGCAGGUGGGUGGAUCCAGAACUGGGUGUUGGGCUUGGUGGAAGCUGGAUGUCACUUCACACAGUGCUGGGCACAACGUGCAUCCUGGCGAUACCACGAAGAACAAGCUUAAGAAAGCCGAUCUUGUGCCUUGGCUAGGUUUUCCCCUUCAUCACCUGGGCUUUUCACCACGACUGCCUGCAAACAAGAGAUUCUGUCAGAGGGGAAGUGGGAGCCGACUGGUUUCAUUCAUUUCAUCCUCCAAGCCGGCUGCCAAGGUGGUUAAAGGCUUUCUCUACGGAACAGAAAAGGCAAACCUCCCUCGAAGGGAAAAGCAGGAUCUUGUCUCACGUAAGAGACAGGAACAGGGUCCGCCUCAUCCUCAAAAAGGAUUCGAUGCAACUCUUUGGAAAUUAACUUCCUCAGAGCCAAGGAGAGCUAGACUGUUUCCCAGUGGAUUGUGUCCUGCAGUGAGUAGUAAGGAAGCUGCCGUUCCUCUUGGGAUACCUCAUUGGGUACCAUAUACUUCCGGGCAAGGGCGUGGACUCCUUGCGCGUCCAACAUUGUGCCUUGUGCACACUAGUGCCUUCCACUGAUGAGUUGUAUCUGGGGCUGACAAGUAUAUGGCUUCCUUUUUUGGAGACGAUUGUCCCCUCCCAGGGAGGUACAGAUGCAGAGGGUGCUGAUGAGGUUGGGGGCGGGGAGGAAUAAGCCUACCGCUAGGUCGAUUAGAUGACCGAAUCUAGCCUCUUGAGUUAGAGCGGGGCCUUUGGUACCUCUCCCGGGGGAGAUAACACCCCUUUAUCUCAGCUGUCACCCCUACAGCUGCAUGUUCUUUCAAGUCGAUUUGACCGGUCAUGAGAAAUUUUGUAACAAAUAUGCAUUGACACCUGCCAUCUCUAAGGUUCUGAAUGAGAAUACGACGAAAUGGACCUGGAAUCGACAUUGGGUGAGUUGCUGCCAUACGCUAGGUACUCCAGAUGCAAAUAUAAAAGGGCCUAAUAACCUCGUUGGGAAGGGGAGCCUGUGAACAAAUGCGUGCAAUGUUAGAACGAUGGCCCACAGCGGAGCAGCACGGAGGAGUGGCUUGAGGAGAGCUUGAGAGCAGUGCUAACGUUUGAGCUGGGUCUUGAAGUUGUUAGGAAAAGUUCUUCAGAUCGAAACAUUGGGGAACAUACCUUCUGUUCUGAAGGGGCUUCGUGUUUAACUCGACACAAUGAGUAUGUGAUCGCCUCGGAAGGAGCCAUGAACACGGCCAAUUGGUAAUUGGUUGAGGAAGGUGGUGAAUCAUGCGGCUGAGCUGGCGUGGCAGUGAAUGUAUCUGGCAGGACAGCAUUUUCUCAAGCUAUCCUUCGAAGAAUCCUGGUUCCUUGAGGUGGUAAUUGGUAUUAUUUGUGAAAACAGGGGGUUUUAAGGCCAAAUACAAGUAGGGAACGCAGGGUUAGGCUGUUGGAUGGGGUUCUUUCCUGCAGGACUUCUCAGGGCCUUUAAUAUAUGACUCUGCCUUAUACAUUUCCAAGAGCUUGUCUUUUUUUUUUUUUUUUUUUAACUUUUUAACGUUUAUUUAUUAUUGAGAGACACAGGGAGACGGGGCAUGAGCAGGGGAGGGGCAGAGAGGGGGAGAGAGGGAGGGGGACACAGAAUCCGAAGCAGGCUCCAGGCUCUGAGCUGUCAGCACAGAGCCCAACGCGGGGUUUGAACCCAUGAACCUCGAGAACAUGACCGGAGCUGAAGUUGGACGCUUAACUGACCGAGCCAUCCAGUUGCCCCUCCAAGAGCUUGUCUUAAACCUAUUUGUCUUUCCCUAUUCACAGUGUUUUCAGAGUUCCACGGAUCUCAUGGUGGGAAAUACGUCUUUAAGGCAGGAACAGCUGUCAGCUGUCUUUACGAAGUGAACAGUUUCUGGGGUACCUGGGCGGCUCAGUUGGUUGAGCGUCUGACUUUGUUUCAGGUCACGAUCUUGCGGUUCGUGAGUUGUGAGUCCUGUGCUGACAGCUCAGAGCCUGGAGCCUGCUCCGGAUUCUGUGUCUCCCUCUCUCUCUGCCCCUCCCCCCCCCCACCCUGAUCUCUCUCAAAAUAAAUAAACGUUAAAAAAAAUUGAAAAAAGAAGUGAAUAGUUUCUAUUUGAGAAACUGUGGGCACCUGUGAGGAAGAAUACCAAUUGUGAGAGACUGGGUGCAAGGUGGCCUGUAACCAAGUUGUUAAAAAUCUUCUGGGCAGAAGAAUGUAAGGGUCAGAAUCAAGGUACUGAAGACGUAAAGGAGGGAAUGGAACCGAAAGACAAUUAGCGGGUAGAAUG